GACGAACGCUGGCGGCGCGCCUAACACAUGCAAGUCGAACGGAGCUUAAAGAGCUUGCUUUUUAAGCUUAGUGGCGAACGGGUGAGUAACGCGUGAGUAACCUGCCCUGGAGUGGGGGACAACAGUUGGAAACGACUGCUAAUACCGCAUAAGCCCACGGCCCGGCAUCGGGCUGCGGGAAAAGGAUUUAUUCGCUUCAGGAUGGACUCGCGUCCAAUUAGCUAGUUGGUGAGGUAACGGCCCACCAAGGCGACGAUUGGUAGCCGGACUGAGAGGUUGAACGGCCACAUUGGGACUGAGACACGGCCCAGACUCCUACGGGAGGCAGCAGUGGGGGAUAUUGCACAAUGGGGGAAACCCUGAUGCAGCGACGCCGCGUGGAGGAAGAAGGUUUUCGGAUUGUAAACUCCUGUCGUUAGGGACGAUAAUGACGGUACCUAACAAGAAAGCACCGGCUAACUACGUGCCAGCAGCCGUGGUAAAACGUAGGGUGCAAGCGUUGUCCGGAAUUACUGGGUGUAAAGGGAGCGCAGGCGGACCGGCAAGUUGGAAGUGAAAACUAUGGGCUCAACCCAUAAAUUGCUUUCAAAACUGCUGGCCUUGAGUAGUGCAGAGGUAGGUGGAAUUCCCGGUGUAGCGGUGGAAUGCGUAGAUAUCGGGAGGAACACCAGUGGCGAAGGCGACCUACUGGGCACCAACUGAUGCUGAGGCUCGAAAGCAUGGGUAGCAAACAGGAUUAGAUACCCUGGUAGUCCAUGCCGUAAACGAUGAUUACUAGGUGUUGGAGGAUUGACCCCUUCAGUGCCGCAGUUAACACAAUAAGUAAUCCACCUGGGGAGUACGACCGCAAGGUUGAAACUCAAAGGAAUUGACGGGGGCCCGCACAAGCAGUGGAGUAUGUGGUUUAAUUCGAAGCAACGCGAAGAACCUUACCUGGUCUUGACAUCCCUAUGAAUAACGGGCAAUGCCGUUAGUACUUCGGUACAUAGGAGACAGGUGGUGCAUGGUUGUCGUCAGCUCGUGUCGUGAGAUGUUGGGUUAAGUCCCGCAACGAGCGCAACCCUUAUCUUUAGUAGCCAGCAGUAAGAUGGGCACUCUAGAGAGACUGCCGGGGAUAACCCGGAGGAAGGUGGGGAUGACGUCAAAUCAUCAUGCCCCUUAUGACCAGGGCUACACACGUGCUACAAUGGCGUAAACAAAGAGAAGCGAAGUCGUGGGGCAGAGCGAAUCUCAAAAAUAACGUCUCAGUUCGGAUUGUAGUCUGCAACUCGACUACAUGAAGCUGGAAUCGCUAGUAAUCGCAGAUCAGAAUGCUGCGGUGAAUACGUUCCCGGGUCU
rnacentral:rRNA from 1 species